rnacentral:rRNA from 1 species
GGUUAAGCGACUAAGCGUACACGGUGGAUGCCCUGGCAGUCAGAGGCGAUGAAGGACGUGCUAAUCUGCGAAAAGCGUCGGUAAGGUGAUAUGAACCGUUACAGCCGGCGAUGUCCGAAUGGGGAAACCCAGUGCAAUUCGUUGCACUAUCGUUAACUGAAUACAUAGGUUAACGAGGCGAACCGGGGGAACUGAAACAUCUAAGUACCCCGAGGAAAAGAAAUCAACCGAGAUUCCCCCAGUAGCGGCGAGCGAACGGGGAGCAGCCCGGAGUCUGAAUCAGCUUGUGUGUUAGUGGAAGCGUCUGGAAAGUCGCAGGGUACAGGGUGAUACUCCCGUACACUAAAACACACAGGCUGUGAACUCGAAGAGUAGGGCGGGACACGUGGUAUCCUGUCUGAAUAUGGGGGGACCAUCCUCCAAGGCUAAAUACUCCUGACUGACCGAUAGUGAACCAGUACCGUGAGGGAAAGGCGAAAAGAACCCCGGCGAGGGGAGUGAAAAAGAACCUGAAACCGUGUACGUACAAGCAGUAGGAGCCCACUAGUUGGGUGACUGCGUACCUUUUGUAUAAUGGGUCAGCGACUUAUAUUCUGUAGCAAGGUUAACCGUAUAGGGGAGCCGCAGGGAAACCGAGUCUUAACUGGGCGUUAAGUUGCAGGGUAUAGACCCGAAACCCGGUGAUCUAGCCAUGGGCAGGUUGAAGGUUGGGUAACACUAACUGGAGGACCGAACCGACUAAUGUUGAAAAAUUAGCGGAUGACUUGUGGCUGGGGGUGAAAGGCCAAUCAAACCGGGAGAUAGCUGGUUCUCCCCGAAAGCUAUUUAGGUAGCGCCUCGUGAAUUCAUCUUCGGGGGUAGAGCACUGUUUCGGCUAGGGGGUCAUCCCGACUUACCAACCCGAUGCAAACUACGAAUACCGAAGAAUGUUAUCACGGGAGACACACGGCGGGUGCUAACGUCCGUCGUGAAGAGGGAAACAACCCAGACCGCCAGCUAAGGUCCCAAAGUCAUGGUUAAGUGGGAAACGAUGUGGGAAGGCCCAGACAGCCAGGAUGUUGGCUUAGAAGCAGCCAUCAUUUAAAGAAAGCGUAAUAGCUCACUGGUCGAGUCGGCCUGCGCGGAAGAUGUAACGGGGCUAAACCAUGCACCGAAGCUGCGGCAGCGACACUAUGUGUUGUUGGGUAGGGGAGCGUUCUGUAAGCCGUUGAAGGUGGCCUGUGAGGGUUGCUGGAGGUAUCAGAAGUGCGAAUGCUGACAUAAGUAACGAUAAUGCGGGUGAAAAACCCGCACGCCGGAAGACCAAGGGUUCCUGUCCAACGUUAAUCGGGGCAGGGUGAGUCGACCCCUAAGGCGAGGCCGAAAGGCGUAGUCGAUGGGAAACAGGUUAAUAUUCCUGUACUUGGUGUUACUGCGAAGGGGGGACGGAGAAGGCUAUGUUGGCCGGGCGACGGUUGUCCCGGUUUAAGCAUGUAGGCGGAUGUUCCAGGUAAAUCCGGAGCGUCACUAACGCUGAGGUGUGAUGACGAGGCACUACGGUGCUGAAGUGACAAAUGCCCUGCUUCCAGGAAAAGCCUCUAAGCAUCAGGUAACAUCAAAUCGUACCCCAAACCGACACAGGUGGUCAGGUAGAGAAUACCAAGGCGCUUGAGAGAACUCGGGUGAAGGAACUAGGCAAAAUGGUGCCGUAACUUCGGGAGAAGGCACGCUGAUGGUAGGUGAAGUGACUUGCUCAUGGAGCUGAAAUCAGUCGAAGAUACCAGCUGGCUGCAACUGUUUAUUAAAAACACAGCACUGUGCAAACACGAAAGUGGACGUAUACGGUGUGACGCCUGCCCGGUGCCGGAAGGUUAAUUGAUGGGGUUAUCCUCGCGGAGAAGCUCUUGAUCGAAGCCCCGGUAAACGGCGGCCGUAACUAUAACGGUCCUAAGGUAGCGAAAUUCCUUGUCGGGUAAGUUCCGACCUGCACGAAUGGCGUAAUGAUGGCCAGGCUGUCUCCACCCGAGACUCAGUGAAAUUGAACUCGCUGUGAAGAUGCAGUGUACCCGCGGCAAGACGGAAAGACCCCGUGAACCUUUACUAUAGCUUGACACUGAACACUGGUCCUUGAUGUGUAGGAUAGGUGGGAGGCUUUGAAGUGUGGACGCCAGUCUGCAUGGAGCCAUCCUUGAAAUACCACCCUUUAAUGGCUGGUGUUCUAACGUGGGCCCGUGAUCCGGGUUGCGGACAGUGUCUGGUGGGUAGUUUGACUGGGGCGGUCUCCUCCUAAAGAGUAACGGAGGAGCACGAAGGUCAGCUAAUCCUGGUCGGACAUCAGGAGGUUAGUGCAAUGGCAUAAGCUGGCUUGACUGCGAGCGUGACGGCGCGAGCAGGUGCGAAAGCAGGUCAUAGUGAUCCGGUGGUUCUGAAUGGAAGGGCCAUCGCUCAACGGAUAAAAGGUACUCCGGGGAUAACAGGCUGAUACCGCCCAAGAGUUCAUAUCGACGGCGGUGUUUGGCACCUCGAUGUCGGCUCAUCACAUCCUGGGGCUGAAGUAGGUCCCAAGGGUAUGGCUGUUCGCCAUUUAAAGUGGUACGCGAGCUGGGUUUAGAACGUCGUGAGACAGUUCGGUCCCUAUCUGCCGUGGGCGCUGGAGAAUUGAGGGGGGCUGCUCCUAGUACGAGAGGACCGGAGUGGACGCAUCACUGGUGUUCGGGUUGUCAUGCCAAUGGCAUUGCCCGGUAGCUAAAUGCGGAAGAGAUAAGUGCUGAAAGCAUCUAAGCACGAAACUUGCCCCGAGAUGAGUUCUCCCUGACUCCUUGAGAGUCCUGAAGGAACGUUGAAGACGACGACGUUGAUAGGCCGGGUGUGUAAGCGCAGCGAUGCGUUGAGCUAACCGGUACUAAUGAACCGUGAGGCUUAACCUU